rnacentral:rRNA from 1 species
GACGAACGCUGGCGGCGUGCUUAACACAUGCAAGUCGAACGGAAAGGCCCCUUUGGGGUUACUCGAGUGGCGAACGGGUGAGUAACACGUGAGUAACCUGCCCUUGACUUCGUGAUAACUUCAGGAAGCUGGGGCUAAUACCGGAUAGGAAUCCUUGCUGCAUCGUGGGGGUUGGAAAGCUUCGGCGGUUUUGGAUGGACUCGCGGCUUAUCAGCUUGUUGGUGGGGUAGUGGCUUACCAAGGCUUUGACGGGUAGCCGGCCUGAGAGGGCGACCGGCCACAUUGGGACUGAGAUACGGCCCAGACUCCUACGGGAGGCAGCAGUGGGGAAUAUUGCACAAUGGGCGGAAGCCUGAUGCAGCAACGCCGCGUGCGGGAUGACGGCCUUCGGGUUGUAAACCGCUUUCAGCAGGGGCGAAGCUUUUGUGACGGUACCUGCAGAAGAAGCACCGGCUAACUACGUG